GAAAAUCACUCCUUCUGUUGAGGAGAUGAAAAAGUUGGACUUAUCUCAUUUUUUUUAUCAAGGGAAAGGAUAAGAAGAAGGAGGUGAGCGAGAAUUUAUCUGAUUCAGAAGAUGAUAAAGCUGAGUAUCAAGGUGGUGAGGCAUCAUCUUCAGCUUUACCAAAGAAAAGAUUGCAUCUUGAUCAUUUUGAGAAAGAGCUGCAGACGUUGGUUUCUUCUCAAAAUAAAAUUGUGGAAGAUUUGAACUGCUUUAAAGAUUAUGUGACUCUUCAGUUUACUAAUCUUUUUAAAGUUCUUGAUUCAAUCAAGAAGAGCUCAAAUGUAAUUGAAGAGCAGACAAACUUGCAUAAUGGAGCUUCAAUUAGUGAUAAUGGGUCUGAUGACAAGGAGGAGGAUAUAUCGUUUAAGGUGAUCAAUCGCAAUAUUGUUCAACCUAUUGUGGAAAAAAAGAACAAUUUGGCGGAGGAUGAUACGGCAGUAGAGAAUAAAAAGGAGGUUGAGCAACAAGAUCAAACUAAUUUAUCUCAAGUUGAUGAAGCAGCAAAUGAGUUUGAUAAAGUUUCUAGUGAUG